rnacentral:rRNA from 1 species
GACAGAGGAUGCAAGCGUUAUCCGGAAUGAUUGGGCGUAAAGCGUCUGUAGGUGGCUUUUCAAGUCCGCCGUCAAAUCCCAGGGCUCAACCCUGGACAGGCGGUGGAAACUACCAAGCUGGAGUACGGUAGGAGCAGAGGGCUCGUAGAGCCGGUGGAGCGGUGAAAUGCGUAGAGAUCGGAAAGAACACCAAUGGCGAAAGCACUCUGCUGGGCCGACACUGACACUGAGAGACGAAAGCUAGGGGAGCAAAUGGG